AAAAUUAAUACAAUCAUAACCAUGAAAUUUUAUAUCUUUGUGUUGCUGGCUACUAUUCUGCGCCUUGGUCUCUGCAUGUCUAUCUUCCAAACUCCAACGAAGUAUUUAUGUCCGAAAAGCUUCUGUGCUGACAAUCCAGAGUGUAACGUUGCCCCCAAAAAGUUUUUACCAUGUACAUCGCUAACACCGCCAAACAUUUACUCUUGUGACUGUCAUCCUUUAUCAAGAG